rnacentral:rRNA from 1 species
UACGGUAGGGUCCGAGCGUUGUCCGGAAUUACUGGGCGUAAAGAGCUCGUAGGUGGUUUGUCGCGUUGUUCGUGAAAACUCACAGCUCAACUGUGGGCGUGCGGGCGAUACGGGCAGACUGGAGUACUGCAGGGGAGACUGGAAUUCCUGGUGUAGCGAUGGAAUGCGCAGAUAUCAGGAGGAACACCGGUGGCGAAGGCGGGUCUCUGGGCAGUAACUGACGCUGGAGGAAGCGAAAGCGUGGGGAGCGAACAGG